rnacentral:rRNA from 1 species
GACGUAGGGGGCGAGCGUUGUCCGGAAUUACUGGGCGUAAAGAGCACGUAGGCGGGAACUUAAGUCAGGUGUGAAAGACCGGGGCUCAACCUCGGGGGUGCACUUGAAACUGGGUUUCUUGAGGGCAGGAGAGGAAAGUAGAAUUCCUGGUGUAGCGGUGAAAUGCGUAGAAAUCAGGAGGAAUACCAGUGGCGAAGGCGACUUUCUGGACUGACCCUGACGCUGAGGUGCGAAAGCGUGGGUAGCAAACAGG